rnacentral:rRNA from 1 species
GACGAACGCUGGCGGCGUGCUUAACACAUGCAAGUCGAACGGAAAGGCCCUGCUUUUGUGGGGUGCUCGAGUGGCGAACGGGUGAGUAACACGUGAGUAACCUGCCCUUGACUUUGGGAUAACUUCAGGAAACUGGGGCUAAUACCGGAUAGGAGCUCCUGCUGCAGGGUGGGGGCUGGAAAGUUUCGGCGGUUGGGGAUGGACUCGCGGCUUAUCGGCUUGUUGGUGGGGUAGUGGCUUACCAAGGCUUUGCCGGGUAGCCGGCCUGAGAGGGUGACCGGCCACGUUGGGCCUGAGAUACGGCCCAGCCUCCUACGGGAGGCAGCAGUGGGGAAUGUUGCACAAUGGGCGGAAGCCUGAUGCAGCAACGCCGCGUGCGGGAUGACGGCCUUCGGGUUGUAAACCGCUUUCGCCUGUGACGAAGCGUGAGUGACGGUAAUGGGUAAAGAAGCACCGGCUAACUACGUG